AUUGAACGCUGGCGGCAUGCCUUACACACGCAAGUCGAACGGUAACAGGUCUUCGGAUGCUGACGAGUGGCGAACGGGUGAGUAAUACAUCGGAACGUGCCUAGUAGUGGGGGAUAACUACUCGAAAGAGUGGCUAAUACCGCAUGAGAUCUACGGAUGAAAGCAGGGGAUCGCAAGACCUUGUGCUACUAGAGCGGCCGAUGGCAGAUUAGGUAGUUGGUGGGAUAAAAGCUUACCAAGCCGACGAUCUGUAGCUGGUCUGAGAGGACGAGCAGCCACACUGGGACUGAGACCCGGCCCAGACUCCUACGGGAGGCAGCAGUGGGGAAUUUUGGACAAUGGGCGCAAGCCUGAUCCAGCAAUGCCGCGUGCAGGAUGAAGGCCUUCGGGUUGUAAACUGCUUUUGUACGGAACGAAAAGCCCUGGGUUAAUACCCUGGGGUCAUGACGGUACCGUAAGAAUAAGCACCGGCUAACUACGUGCCAGCCGCCGCCGUAAGAC
rnacentral:rRNA from 1 species